rnacentral:rRNA from 1 species
GAUGAACGCUGGCGGCGUGCCUAAUACAUGCAAGUCGAGCGAACAGACGAGGAGCUUGCUCCUUUGACGUUAGCGGCGGACGUGUGAGUAACACGUAUGUAACCUACCUAUAAGACUGGGAUAACUUCGGGAAACCGGAGCUAAUCCCGUAUAAUAUUUCGAACCGCAUUGUUCGAUAGUGAAAUAUGGCGGUUCUAUCACUUAUAGAUGGACCUGCGCCGUAUUAGCUAGUUGUUAAGGUAACGGCUUACCAAGGGAACGAUACGUAGGCGACCUGAGAGGGUGAUAGGCGACCCUGGAACUGAGACACGGUCAAGACGACUACGGGAGGCAGCAGUCGCGAAUCUUACGCAAUGGGCGAAAGCAUGACGGAGCAGCGGCAAGCGAGUGAUGACGGUCCCGGGAUCGUAAAACUGUGUUACUAGGGAAGAACAAACGUGUAAGUAACUGUGCACGGAUUGACGGUAACUAAUCAGAAAGCCACGGCUAACUACGUG